rnacentral:rRNA from 1 species
UACGUAGGGUGCGAGCGUUAUUCGGAAUUACUGGGCGUAAAGCGUGCGCAGGCGGUGAGCUGUGUCCGAUGUGAAAGCCCCGGGCUUAACCUGGGAAUGGCAUUGGAAACUGGCUCGCUGGAGUGCGGCAGAGGGGAGUGGAAUUCCGCGUGUAGCAGUGAAAUGCGUAGAGAUGCGGAGGAACACCGAUGGCGAAGGCAGCCCCCUGGGAUAACACUGACGCUCAGGCACGAAAGCGUGGGGAGCAAACAGG